rnacentral:tRNA from 1 species
GAGGGUGUAGCUCAGUGGUAGAGCACGUGCUUCACAUAUAUGAGGUCCUGGGUUCAAUCCCUGGUACCUCUA